rnacentral:rRNA from 1 species
CCUACGGGAGGCAGCAGUAGGGAAUAUUGCUCAAUGGGGGAAACCCUGAAGCAGCAACGCCGCGUGGAGGAUUAAGGUUUUCGGAUUUUAAACUCCUUUUGUUAGGGAAGAUAAUGACGGUAUCUAACGAAUAAGCACCGGCUAACUCCGUGCCAGCAGCCGCGGUAAUACGGAGGGUGCAAGCGUUAGUCGGAAUCACUGGGCGUAAAGAGCGCGUAGGCGGGAUAGCAAGUCAGAUGUGAAAUGCUAUGGCUUAACCAUAGAACUGCAUUUGAAACUGUUAUGCUAGAGUAUGGGAGAGGUAGGUGGAAUUCUUGGUGUAGGGGUAAAAUGCGUAGAGAUCAAGAGGAAUACUCAUUGCGAAGGCGACCGGCUAGAACAUAACUGACGCUGAUGCGCGAAAGCGUGGGGAGCAAACAGGAUUAGAUACCCGGGUAGUC